rnacentral:rRNA from 1 species
AUUGAACGCUGGCGGCAGGCCUAACACAUGCAAGUCGAGCGGAGCGGCGGACGGGUGCGUAAUGCAUAGGAACCUGCCUGGUAGUGGGGGAUAACGUCCGGAAACGGGCGCUAAUACUGCAUACUAUCAGAUGAGCCUAGGUCGGGUUAGCGAGGUGGUGGGGUAAAGGCCUACCAAGGCUACGAUCCGUCACUGGUCUGAGAGGAUGAGCAGUCACACUGGAACUGAGACACGGUCCAGACCACGACGGGAGGCAGCAGUGGGGAAUAGUGGAAAAUGGGCGAAGGCCUGAUCCAGCCAUGCCGCGUGUGUGAAGAAGGUCUUGGGAUUGGAAAGCUCUUUAAGUUGGGAAGCGUUACCAACAGAAUAAGCACCGGCUAACUUCGUGCCAGCCGCCGCGGUAAUAC